UCAGAUAAGCGGAAGAGCCGCGUUCGCGCGCCGUGCCGCUACGCUGGGGCGGGGAUGGCGGCAACGCUGCCUCCUGCUCCUGCUGAUAGAGGCGUGAUGGAGCAGCCUCCCUGAUUGCUGAUACCCCGCACACAGCUGGGCUGCCUGGAACUGCGUUACGUAUUACAGAGCCGCGCCGGGCUGGGUGGGGGUGAGGGCUUCUGCGCCGCCACUGCGCUAGGCUAGGCUAACCGUUCCACAGGCUGAUUGGGAAAAACACCCACUGUGCUAGGCUAGGCUAGGCUAACCGUUCCACAGGCUGAUUGGGAAAAACACCCACUGUGCUAGGCUAGGCUAGGCUAACUGUUCCACAGGCUGAUUGGGGCAAAAUGCACACAGUCGCGCUAGGCUAGGCUAACGGUUCCACAGGUUGAUUGGGAUAAAUGCACACAGUCGCGCUAGGCUAGGCUAGGCUAACGGUUCCACAGGUUGAUUGGGGUAAAUGCACACAGUCGCGCUAGGCUAGGCUAACGGUUCCACAGGUUGAUUGGGGUAAAAUGCACAUGGUCGCAUUUCCCCUGUAGAUAUGGGGCCCGGUGAUUCCCAGGUGUUCUUUGUUUUGGCAGAUGCUUUUCACAGGGGAGAAUAAAAGCAUCUGCGGGUAAUGGGUCUGUACGCGGCUCAGUUCGGUCGGUACUGUAACUCUCGCCUUCUGGGAUGUGUACCCAUGAGAGUGUUUUAAGGGCGUGGCUGUGGCCUUGAUUUAGCUGGACCUCAGUGUAAUGUGCACCCCAGGGAUUUUUAACUGGAUUUUUGUCCCCUUUCCAGUAUGAUACUGGUCCAGUAUAUGAUACUGAAUAUGGACAGAUGCAGGCACUGUAUUAGGUGUUUGUGUUAUAGUACAGCUUUUGUGCGACGAAACGGCAAAUCAGAGCCUUUUGUUUAGUCCCCGCUUUCCCGUCAAUAAACAGCCUAAAUGGUGUUGCGAAGAAAGAUCGUUGCUGUUUGUUUUAUCGCGGCGUGCGAAGAAAAACGGGCAGUCAGAAUUGUUUUUGCCGUUUUGCUUCGCCCGUAGAUGGAGGCGGUUGCUGCCAAUAAUGUGAGCGGGAGCGUGAUCAUUUAAUCUCCUUUAGUUUUCACGUUUCAUUAGCUGGCUAGAUGGGUUCCACACAGACAACUGCAAUUUGUGCCGUUCCCUGAGACAAACACGAAAAAGCUCUCUUGAUACGCGGGCUCCUGCCUUAACAAGCGUCACAGAGGAACAAUUGACCAUUGACCUCCGAAAGGGAAGGGAAAUGGAGGGACAGUUGACCUUUGACCUCUGAAAUGGAGGGACAGUUGACCUUUGACCUCUGAAAUGGAGGGACAGUUGACCCUUGACCCCUAAAGGAAGUGAAAGGCUUUGAUGGUCAGGGCGGAGGUGGGCCUAUAGCCUAAAGCAGUAAAUGAACGUAAAGCGCAGACCAGCGGAUUCGCUAGCCAGAGCUCCCCUGCACUCGAAUGAGGCCAUUGGUCACUGUCUCCCAAACUGCAGUCAUAUCACAUACACCCCCCUCUCAGUGUAAUUCAAAUAUUAAUUCUCCAUCUUUCUCAGUUUUAUUUUAUAUUGAUAAUGACUAUUUUUAUUGUCUUUAACCUAC